rnacentral:rRNA from 1 species
GAGACUCUGUGCGCGUGCAUAUCAAUAAGCGGAGGAAAAGAAACUAACUAGGAUUCCCUUAGUAACGGCGAGUGAAGCGGGAAGAGCUCAAAUUUGAAUCUUCAAGGUUCUACCUUGACGAAUUGUAGUUUAAAGAAGUGUUUUCUGUUGGAGUUUUGGUAAAAGUUCUUUGGAAUAGGACAUCAUAGAGGGUGAGAAUCCCGUAUUUGACCGUUACUUUCCAGCUGUGUGAUACACUUUCAAAGAGUCGGAUUGUUUGGGAAUGCAGUCCAAAAUGGGUGGUAAAUUUCAUCUAAAGCUAAAUACUGGCGAGAGACCGAUAGCGAACAAGUACCGUGAGGGAAAGAUGAAAAGAACUUUGAAAAGAGAGUUAAACAGUACGUGAAAUUGUCAAAAGGGAAGCGUUUGACACCAGUGUUGUUUUUCCGAAAAUCAAUUACGAAUGUUUUGUUUUUGAGGAGUUAUGACUUCAUCGGCUUGCUUCUCUCUUUACUGAAACUUUCUUAAUGCACUUUUCGGUUAACAAGUCAACAUCAAUUUCUUUUGUUGUAAAAGGGUAUGAGGAAGGUGGCUUUCACUUCCGGUAGAAAGUGUUUAUAGCCUUGUGCCUCUACAAUCGGAGAGAUUGAGGUCUGCAGCGUAGAUCCUUCGGGGUUAGAUACAGUUAGAUGCUAAGUUAUAGCUUUUUCAUAGACAACUUGUUGACUAUGUUAGUCAUUGUAGCUUACUCGCUUAGUGCUAUUUUACCUACGCUUAGGAUGUUGACAGCAGUAUAGACUGU